rnacentral:rRNA from 1 species
ACGCUAGCUAUAGGCUUAACACAUGCAAGUCGAGGGGAAACGGCAUUAUGUGCUUGCACAUUUUGGACGUCGACCGGCGCACGGGUGAGUAUCGCGUAUCCAACCUUCCCUCCACUCGGGGAUACCCCGUUGAAAGACGGCCUAAUACCCGAUGUUGUCCACAUAUGGCAUCUGACGUGGACCAAAGAUUCAUCGGUGGAGGAUGGGGAUGCGUCUGAUUAGCUUGUUGGUGCGGGUAACGGCCCACCAAGGCUACGAUCAGUAGGGGUUCUGAGAGGAAGGUCCCCCACAUUGGAACUGAGACACGGUCCAAACUCCUACGGGAGGCAGCAGUGAGGAAUAUUGGUCAAUGGACGUAAGUCUGAACCAGCCAAGUAGCGUGCAGGAUUGACGGCCCUAUGGGUUGUAAACUGCUUUUGUUGGGGAGUAAAGUGAGGCACGCGUGCCUUUUUGCAUUUACCCUUCGAAUAAGGACCGGCUAAUUCCGUGCCAGCAGCCGCGGUAAUACGGAAGGUCCAGGCGUUAUCCGGAUUUAUUGGGUUUGAAGGGAGUGUAGGCGGUCUGUUAAGCGUGUUGUGAAAUUUAGGUGCUCAACAUCUACCUUGCAGCGCGAACUGGCGGACUUGAGUGCACGCAACGUAUGCGGAAUUCAUGGUGUAGCGGUGAAAUGCUUAGAUAUCAUGACGAACUCCGAUUGCGAAGGCAGCGUACGGGAGUGUUACUGACGCUUAAGCUCGAAGGUGCGGGUAUCGAACAGGAUUAGAUACCCUGGUAGUCCGCACGGUAAACGAUGGAUGCCCGCUGUUAGCGCCUGGCGUUAGCGGCUAAGCGAAAGCAUUAAGCAUCCCACCUGGGGAGUACGCCGGCAACGGUGAAACUCAAAGGAAUUGACGGGGGCCCGCACAAGC